CGGUGUGCGACAUGUCGCAUGUGAAAUAUUUGAUAGAAGUGCCUCACGUCCAAGUCAAGCCGCCGUACGGGUGUAUGGCUGUGUGCCCCGUUCUCGGAAGCGUCGACGGGCUUCCGGCAUGCGGAUUUCAGAGUUUGGACUCGACUUUUGGUGAGGAUGUCGAUCGACCUUGGGCCUGGUGACAGCACACCCGACAUGGCCAAAGUGCAGCCUAUCAGUUGAGUGCCCCCGAAUGGACCAUCAGCAUCGGAAAAUGAAGCAGAGCCAGGUAGGGGCAAUUUUUAUUUUGGAACAGAAUACUGACAGCUGCCUCUUUAUUUAGGGAACUAAAUAACGUAUUUACAAACCAAUCCUUUCUCUUUGUGCAGCCUACACAGAAUCGUUUUUGCUUGUUAUACAGAUCUUCAGAAAGCAGUUCUUCUGAAUCCUUUUUUGCAUGCACAAAUAAAUAAAGAGGAGUGCACUUUCUGAAGAAAUUGAUGCACUGAAAUGUGCGUUCGACACACACAGAGAUGCAAAAUAAACAACUUUAAAGUGGUAAAAAAAAA